AUCCAGACUCCUACGGGAGGCAGCAGUGGGGGAUAUUGGACAAUGGGGGAAACCCUGAUCCAGCGACGCCGCGUGAGUGAAGAAGUAUUUCGGUAUGUAAAGCUCUGUCAGCAGGGAAGAAAGAAAUGACGGUACCUGACCAAGAAGCCCCGGCUAACUACGUGCCAGCAGCCGCGGUAAUACGUAGGGGGCAAGCGUUAUCCGGAAUUACUGGGUGUAAAGGGAGCGUAGACGGUGAUGCAAGUCUGAAGUGAAAGGCGGGGGCCCAACCCCCGGACUGCUUUGGAAACUGUAUGGCUGGAGUGCAGGAGAGGUAAGUGGAAUUCCUAGUGUAGCGGUGAAAUGCGUAGAUAUUAGGAGGAACACCAGUGGCGAAGGCGGCUUACUGGACUGUAACUGACGUUGAGGCUCGAAAGCGUGGGGAGCAAACAGGAUUAGAUACCCGUGUAU
rnacentral:rRNA from 1 species